AAAAAUUAAAAAAAGAAAAACUCAGAGAUGGAAAAAGGCAUGUACGCCUCUCAAAGGGAAGAAAGAAGCUUAAAUAGGAAAAGGCAUGUCCGAUGCUAGGUUUUUCUGCCUAUAAAUGAACAUAUUUGGUGGAAUGAUGGGAGAGGCAGAAAGACUAGAGUGGCGAUGAAAUGCAGAAAUGAAGAUAUGUAGUCAAGGACAAUCACUGAACGAGAGAGAUGAGAACUAGCGGGUGAAGCAAAAGAAGCUUGAAGACUAAAACAUAGAGGAGAGCAAAUAUGUAAUGCAAAAGCAGAUGGGCAGAGAUGAACCGAGAUUCGGUGGUGAGUAACAGAGCGAGCUUGCGGAGCCGAAUCAUGGAACCGACCAAGUAGAAGCAGAAUGUGAUCAGGAAGCUGAACCAAGAAGGCAGAAAUUUUAUUUGGGAAAGAGAUGAAAAAAAGAAUUAAUAAAGUAUAUAUUUAUUUAAUUUUUAAUUAGCAUAUUUUUUGUAUAGAAAUUUCAAUGAAUUGUUUUAUUAUUAUAAAACCCAGAUAGUAGUUUUUGAAUUUUUUUAUAAAUUUAUUCUUAAUAAUUACACGAUUAAAUUUUUUUCAAUUAUAA
rnacentral:lncRNA from 1 species